rnacentral:rRNA from 1 species
UGGGGAAUCUUGCACAAUGGGGGCAACCCUGAUGCAGCGACGCCGCGUGAGCGAUGAAGCCCUUCGGGGCGUAAAGCUCUUUCGACCGGAACGAUAAUGACGGUACCGGGAGAAGAAGCUGCGGCUAACUACGUGCCAGCAGCCGCGGUAAUACGUAGGCAGCAAGCGUUGUUCGGAGUUACUGGGCGUAAAGAGUGCGUAGGCGGUUUUCUAAGUUCGGUGUGAAAUCUCCCGGCUUAACUGGGAGGGUGCGCCGAAGACUGGGAAGCUGGAGUGUGGGAAAGGCAGGCGGAAUUCCUGGUGUAGCGGUGAAAUGCGUAGAUAUCAGGAGGAACACCGGCGGUGUAGACGGGUUGCUAGACCAUAACUGACGCUGAGGCACGAAAGCGUGGGUAGCAAACA